rnacentral:rRNA from 1 species
AUGGCUGCGGCGGCGAAUCCUAGGGUCACGGGCGCGGCUCCCGCGCCCCUGCUGCUCCCUCCACGCCUCCUCGGAAGGAGCCGCGGCCGGCGCGGGACGUUGCUCGCCGCCGCCCUCCGAGGCGCGCCGUCGGGAGCCGAGCCACCGACAGGGUCCCAGCGCGGAGCAGCGCUGUUGGCGGGCGUGCCCUGGCCAACCACGGCACGGAGACGGCGCCGUCCGGCCGGCGAAGCGGCUCUGCCUGCACCGGCGCUCGCCCUGACGCCUUCCGCGCGGCGGCCUCUUCUUCUUCCACUCCGCCAUAGAUUCUUGUGUUGUACGAAUGCGGCCACCUCAAAUGACGCCGAAGCGUCGCCUUCGCCUGAUGGCGGCAAGAACCCGUUGGCCCCGCUCGUCGAGCUGUGGCGCCGGACGGUGCAACCGCUGGGGGAUUACGGAUUCGGGAAGCGCAGCGUGUGGGAAGGCGGCGUGGGACUCUUCAUGGUCUCCGCGGCGGUCCUGCUGGCGCUCGCGCUCGCGUGGCUCCGGGGGUUCCAGCUGCGGUCGCGUUUCCGUAAGUACAACGCCGUGUUCGAGUUCAGCCAGGCGUGCGGAAUUUGCGUGGGCACGCCCCUCAGGAUACGUGGGGUCACCGUUGGGAGCGUCGUCCGUGUCGACUCUUCGCUCAGGAGUAUUGAUGCAUAUGUUGAGGUUGAAGAUGAUAAAAUUAUUGUGCCACGUAAUUCAUUGGUUGAGGUUAAUCAGUCUGGUCUUUUAAUGGAGACAAUGAUUGAUAUCACACCAAAAGAUCCACUUCCUGCACCUUCAGUUGGUCCACUUGAUGCAGACUGUUCCAAAGAAGGUUUAAUCCUCUGUGACAAGGAGAGAAUGAAAGGACAUCAAGGAGUAAGCUUAGAUGCACUGGUUGGUAUAUUUACCCGUCUAGGAAGAGACAUGGAGGAAAUUGGUGUUCAAAAAAGCUUCAAAUUGGCAGAGAAGGUUGCAUCUAUAAUGGAAGAAGCACAACCUCUCCUUUCACGGAUUGAAGCAUUGGCUGAAGAAGUUCAACCUUUGCUCUCGGAGGUGCGUGAUAGUGAUCUGGUGAAGGAUGUGGAAACCAUAGCUAAAGGUCUGGCUGAGGCAUCCGGCGAUUUAAGAAGGUUGAAGUCUUCCAUGCUUACCCCUGAGAACAGUGAUUUAAUCAAGCAGUCUAUUUUCACCCUUAUAUUUACUUUGAAGAACAUUGAGAGCAUCAGCUCAGACAUCUCUAGUUUCACUGGCGAUGAGGCGACACGACAGAACAUCAAGCUGCUGAUCAAGUCCCUUAGCAGACUAUUGUGA